AUGGUGAUGGGAUACUCUCCCGCUGAGUCAGUGGCCAUCGCCAAUAGACUUAAUUGCCGCCUGGGCUCGUUCCCCACUACCUACCUUGGGACGCCCAUCAGUGACUCGCGCCUCUUGGCCGCCGAUCUUCGCCCCUCCGUGACCAAGCUCCAGACUAGAUGCGAGCCCUGGCAGGGGAGGUGGCUCUCCAAGGCGGCCCGGACUAUUCUUAUCAACUCCUCCCUCUCCAGCCUCCUCUUAUUUUGUAUGAGUUUCUACAGCCUCCACGAAUCUCUCCAUAAGGAGAUCGCCAAAAUCCAAUCCCGCUUCUAUUGGGCUGGUGAGCACGGCAAGCAGAAGUAUCACAUGGUCAGCUGGCCUGACAUCUGCAAGCCUCGGGAGCAGGGUGGAUUGGGGAUCAUGUGCUCUAAGCGGAUGAAUAUUGCCCUCCUAUCCCGGUGGCUGUGGCGCAUCUCGCAGGGUCAGGGUGGCCUAUGGCUGGACAUUAUCCGGAAUAAAUACCUGCGCGGCCAACCCCUUACCUUCUGCCAGAAGUCGGGAGGUUCUCAGUUCUGGCAGUCCCUCGUCCAGCUCCUCCCUGUGCUCCGCAUUGGUACCUCUAUCUCGGUAGGGUCCGGCCUCUCGACGCUCUUCUAG
rnacentral:rRNA from 1 species